CCUACGGGAGGCAGCAGUAGGGAAUAUUGCUCAAUGGGGGAAACCCUGAUGCAGCAACGCCGCGUGGAGGAUGAAGGUUUUCGGAUUGUAAACUCCUUUUGUUAGAGAAGAUAAUGACGGUAUCUAACGAAUAAGCACCGGCUAACUCCGUGCCAGCAGCCGCGGUAAUACGGAGGGUGCAAGCGUUACUCGGAAUCACUGGGCGUAAAGAGCGCGUAGGCGGGAUAGCAAGUCAGAGGUGAAAUCCUAGGGCUUAACCAUAGAACUGCAUUUGAAACUGUUAUUCUAGAGUAUGGGAGAGGUAGGUGGAAUGCUUGGUGUGGGGUAAAAUCCGUAGAGAUCAAGAGGAAUACUCAUUGCGAAGGCGACCUGCUAGAACAUAACUGACGCUGAUGCGCGAAAGCGUGGGGAGCAAACAGGAUUAGAUACCCGAGUAGUC
rnacentral:rRNA from 1 species